UAAGAGAUACAACAUAUAUUACCUCAUGUACAAUAAUAUUAAGCAUACAACCAAUCUUAUACGUAUUACACUACACCGAUCAUAUAUGUAUUACACUACACAGACCUUACCCUAAUCUCCUAAACACAGCCGCCAUCAAACAUAUUCUCAUUGUCUCCACCAAAGAUGCAGUGAUCUCCACCAACGUCUCCCACCGAAGGUCCACGGCUGCCGACUUCCCCCACCAAAGAUGUAGUGAUCUCUCUCGCCUCUCUUUGUCUCUCUCCUCUCUUUUCUCUCUUUCUCCCUCUCUCUCUCUCUCUAUCUCUCUCGAUCGCCAUCAGAAUGAAAUGGAAACCCUAAUUUCAAAUUACCAUGUAUUCGAGAUCCCUAUGGCGAGGUGUGUCCCCGUUUACUGUGAUUACAAACUCACAAACCUCACGACCUCUCUCAUACAUUCUCUGUCUUUUGUUUUCAGUAAAUAUGUUAUCACCACCAUCAUCUACAAUUGCUAUCAUCGAGCUCUCCCUUUUCUUACUAAUUUCACCCCAUUAGUUACCACACACAUAAAAAUGUACAAAACCACCAUCGACAUCUUCAAAUGAACAUCAUCGAUUUCUUUUCCCAAGUCAUUUAUCCUCUGUAACCGUCAUCAUCUGUCGACGAAGAUCAGAAACUACAAGCACAAUCAUGCCCUGAACACCGAACAGGGUAAUUUCUGAAUUGAUCUCUUUCUCCCUUCCCCAAACGGUGACUACUAUCUCCAUUCCAAUGUCUAUUUCUCUUUUCCCUAAAUGGUAACCACUAACACGCAUGGAUGCUAUGUGGUUAGAAGCGCUAGAAAAUGCCUUCAAUGUGUGAUCCUGGCAUCAAAUGCAAAUGCGGCUGUAAUUUCCCCAAUUCUACUUGCCACAUCACCCAACUGACCUUUGUCUUUCUUCCCACCUAAUCUUCUUGCUAAAGCCCUUCAGUUGCUUUCUGAUGCCACUUCCACUCCUGAAGACCUUGGUAUCAAUUGGAGCCGUAUAGGGGAAUGUGCACCAAAUAAGAAUGACUGUCUAAUAAAUAUGAUGGGUCGAUUUGUAGUUGCAUGCGGUCUGUUCUAACAUCGGAACAUACGUAUCCAGAUGAUGAAGAUGUACUCCAAGAGGAAAACAUUGUUAAGAAGCAACAUAGAUGCUUCAUUUUCCCUCCACGAACCCUAAUCGGCAUCUCAGUCGCAAAAGUUGAUCCAUGUUGCUCAAUCGGGAAAUCCAUAUUAUGUUCCACCAAAAGUGCUUCAUAUUCUGAGAAUUUCUUAUUCAUCUGUACAUUUCAGUCUCCUUUGCUAUUCACAAUCAUGUCAGAAGUAAAAGAUGAUGAGUAUGAGAGAAAUGAUUGCUUCUGUAGGCUUCUUCUGGCAAAAAGAAGAUUGUAGGUGUUUUCUACAAGGCACAUGAGUAUGCUGAGAUGAACCCCAAUUUCUUGGGUUGUGCAGAAAAUGCAUUAGGCAUUCGCAACUGGUUGGAAUCACAGGGCCAUGAGUA